rnacentral:lncRNA from 1 species
UUUUUCUUUUUUUUUCCUGAGCAGAGGUUUAAUGCUUUCAAGCAUGUGUAUUUGUCUAAAACUCCACAGUUCAGAACCAGGAAAUAUGAAAUAAAAAGAUUUAAUCUUACUUAACUUUUAUCUCACAGAAGUAUGUGUGUGUAUAUAUAUGACCAGCUGUUGGCCUCAUCUAUAAAAGAACAUCAACACAUAAACUAGCAAAUAUCUCAUUUUAAGAACUAGAUAUCCUCAGGAGCCAUUAGAAUGAAUUAGGAGCAAAAUGCAUGCCUGAAUAAGAGAAUAGAUCCAUUUGUGGAUCCACAGUGACUGAAUCCCUACAAAAGACAUAAUAAAUUGACUUGUUGCCUGAGGGCACUUAAAAUUGAAUGUGUACCAAAUACAGUGAUUUUUGUUUUGUUUUGUUUUGCAGAAUUUUAUGCUGAGUUUUUCCUUAUGGAAGUCAGAUGCUAAUGGACUCACACUGCUUCUUAAAUUCACUCUUAGAGAAUACAAAAAGGUUAUCAGCAUAAAGAAGGAAACUGCAUUUCUCUUUGUUGCAUCAGGAGAAGGCAAAGUCAAUUCAUUUCAUAUUUGCGCUAUGUUGAUAAAGUUUAAAAAAUAAGUGCUGAACUUAGUCCUGUUUGACAUCACUUAAGACCAUAUUGCAUUUCAUCUAUCUCUGCCUAUUCUAAUUUUGGCAAAUAUGUUAAAUGAAAGAGGCAGUAAUAAUUGAGGUGACUGUCUGGAAUGCAUGAGUUGGUCCAUAGACAACUGUUGUCCAUAGAAUCAGAGGUGGAUGAUGGAGCAGCGGUGAAGUUUAUACAUGACCUUGAGAUGUUCUUAAACCUGAGGCAUAUCAGUACAAGCCCAUUAAAAGCAAUGGUUUUAUUUUCAAUUUCAAAAACAUAGAUUAUAAAGACAAUCUCAAGAAAAUAAGCCAAGCCAGAUUCAAAGAAAAUAUUUGCAUAGGAUAUAUCUGAUACAGGACUGUUAUCCAAAAUAUACAUAGAAGUCUUAAAAACCAAUAAUAAGAAAACAAAGACUGAUUAAGAAAUGGCCAACUCUGGAAAAUAGUAUGGAGGUUCCUCAAAAAAUUAAAAAUAGAAUUAUCCUAUGACUCAGCAAUUGCACUACUAGGUAUUUAUCCAAAGGAUGCAAACAUAGUGAUUUGAAAGGACACAUGCACCCCAAUGUUUAUAGCAGCAAUGUCCACAAUAGUCAAACUAUGGAAAGAAUGCAGAUGUCCAUCAACAGAUGAAUGGAUAAAGAAGAUGUGGUAUAUAUACUCAAUGGAAUAUUACUCAGCCAUCAAAGAGUAAAUUCUUGCCAUUUGCAAUGACAUGGAUGGAACUAGAGGAUAUUAUGCUAAGUGAAAUAACUCAGAAAAAGACAAAUACCACAUGAUUUAACUCAUAUGUGGAAUUUAAGAAACAAGACAGAUGAACAUAAGGGAAGGAAAAAUAAAAUAAGAUAAAAACAGAGAGGGAGGCAAACCAUAAGAGAUGCUUAACUCUAGAAAACAAAUUAAGGGUUGCUUGAUGGGGUACUUGAGUGAUGGGCAUUAAGGAGGGCACUUGAUGUCAUGAGCACUGGGUGUUAUAUGCAACUGAUGAAUCACUAUAUUAUACUUCUGAAAUUAAUAAUAUAGUAUACAUUAAUUAAAUUGAAUUUAAACUUAAAAAGAAAUUUUUAAGAGGCCAAAGAUACAAGCAGACACCUAACCAAAGAAGAUGACAAAUAGGUACAUGAAAAGAUGUUCCACAUUAUAUAUCAUCAGAGAAAAGUAAGGUAAAACUAUGAUGAGAUACCACUAUAUCCCUAUUAGAAUGGCCAAAUUCCAAAACUGACAACACUAAAUGGUGAUGGGACAGAGGAGCAACAGGAACUCUUAUUCAUUGCUGGCAGGAGUGGAAAAUGGUACAAUCACCCUAGGGGAUGCUUUGGCAACGUCUUACAACUUCUUAAACAUCCUCACACACCUGGGUGGCUCAGUUGAGCAUCUGACUCUUGAUUUCAGCUGGUCAUGAUCAUAAUCUCCUGGGAUUGAGCCCAGGGUUAACCUCUCCACCCAGUGGGGAGUUUGCUUGUCUCCCUCUCCCUCUGCUUGCUGUGUUUCUUUCUCCCUCAAAUAAAUAAAUCUUAAAAAAAAAAAAAAAAAAAAAAAAAAGAAACAAAAAA